CAAAUUUUCUGUAGCAAAUUUCGUGCUUCAGGCCAUAAUAAAAAGGCCAUCCAAUUUGUUCAAAUAAUUUAAAAGAAAUAUCGCAAUUAUUGAAGUUAUGUAAUGUGACAUUUAUGUCUCCACUAAAUAUAUGUGAACAUGAAGCUGGAGCGAGAGAGGAGCCACGGAAUUCCAAGACAGAAAGCCAAGCGGCAAA